UACGAAGGGGACUAGCGUUGUUCGGAAUUACUGGGCGUAAAGGGCUCGUAGGCGGCCAACUAAGUCAGACGUGAAAUCCCUCGGCUUAACCGGGGAACUGCAUCUGAUACUGGAUGGCUUGAGUUCGGGAGAGGGAUGCGGAAUUCCAGGUGUAGCGGUGAAAUGCGUAGAUAUCUGGAGGAACACCGGUGGCGAAGGCGGCAUCCUGGACCGACACUGACGCUGAGGAGCGAAAGCCAGGGGAGCAAACGGG
rnacentral:rRNA from 1 species